AGAUGAUAGAUAGAUAGAUGAUAGAUAGAUAGAUGAUAUCUAUCUGUCUAUCUAUCUAUCAUCUAUCUAUCUAUCUAUCU
rnacentral:miRNA from 1 species